UUACCCGUUGAAACUUAAGCAUAUCAUUAAGCGGAGGAAAAAGAAACUAACAAGCAUUGUUCUGCUAGUAACUGCUUAACUCAAGCGGGAAGAGCUCAACUUUAGAAUCUGGCAGCUCUGCUGUCCGAGUUGUAAUCUGUAGAAGCAUUUUCUGCAUUGGACUGUGUACAAGUCUCUUGGAAUAGAGCGUCAUAGAGGGUGAGAAUCCCGUCCAUGACACAGAUUACCAAUGCUUUGUGAUAUGCUCUCAAAGAGUCGAGUUGUUUGGGAAUGCAGCUCAAAAUGGGUGGUAAAUUCCAUCUAAAGCUAAAUAUAGGCGAGAGACCGAUAGCGAACAAGUACCGUGAGGGAAAGAUGAAAAGCACUUUGGAAAGAGAGUUAAACAGUACGUGAAAUUGUUGAAAGGGAAACGCUUGAAGUCAGUUGCAUUCUGCAGGACUCAGCCUUGCCUUAUUAGGCCCGGUGUAUUUCCUGCAGGAUGGGUCAACAUCAAUUUUGGUCAGUGGAUAAAGGAGGAGGGAAUGUGGCACCUGUGAAGGUGUGUUAUAGCCUUCUUUCAUAUACAUUGACUGGGAUUGAGGAUUGCAGCAUGCCCUUUGUGGCCAGACUUCAUGUCACAUGCUUAGGAUGUUGACAAAAUGGCUUUAAGCGACCCGUCUUGAAACACGGACCAAGGAGUCUAACAUGCCUGCAAGUGUUUGGGUGGAAAACCCUUGCGCACAAUGAAAGUGAAAGUUGGGAACCUCCGCAAGGGGGUGCACUGACACCCGGCCCUGAUGUUUACUGACGGUGCUGCGGUAGAGCAUGUAUGUUGGGACCCGAAAGAUGGUGAACUAUGCCUGAAUAGGGUGAAGCCAGAGGAAACUCUGGUGGAGGCUCGUAGCGAUCUCUGACGUGCAAUCGUGAUUCGUCAAAUUUGGGUCAUCAGGGGCGAAAGCACUAAUCGAACCAUCUAGUAGCUGGUUCCUGCCGAAGUUUUCCCCUCAGGAA
rnacentral:rRNA from 1 species